rnacentral:tRNA from 1 species
GGAAGGGUAGCGAAGUGGUCAAACGCGGCAGACUGUAAAUCUGUUCCUUCGGGUUCGAUGGUUCGACCCCAUCCCCUUCCACCA